rnacentral:lncRNA from 1 species
UUAAUUAUGAUAUCGAGUAUGUUGAUAAUGGUAUUGGAUGGGAUACUUAUAAUGCAUAUCUCAUAAAAGAAGGUGCAUUUGUGGCCUUGAUGGGAAAAAAGAAGUCAUAACUUCAAGGUAUAUUGUAUGGAGAUUGUAGUGGAAAUGAUGGAAGAAGUAUGAGUGGUGCGUAUGGUGAGGUAGUGUCUCUACAAGAUGUUGAUGGGUAUGAUGCUAUGUUGCUACAAGAAGAAAAUAUGGAGACAAAAAUGGGAAGGGAGAUGAGAAACAAAAUUCAUUGACAAAAUAUAAGGAUUAUGUAACUCAUGUUAUUAGAAAAGUAAAGUAUUUGGAAAGUUCAUCUACUCAACAACAUGCCUCAAAUACUUGUGACCUUAUUAUUAACUCUGUAAGUAAUGAACGAUUUGCUACUAGACAUCAAAAUUUUGUUGCAGCUUUAACAAAAGGGAAAGAACCUA